GGGACGGGAGGAGAGAAGAAAAGUCACAACACUGAGAUGACAAAGAUGAAAACUUUGACCAAGAGUUAAGCCGGGUUCUAGGUGUGAUCUCACAGUGUGACAGACAGUCCUUUAGGCAGGAGCAGCAGUCAGGGGAGUUGCCAGGAGGACUGGGUUUAAGCAUCACCCCUUCACCAACACCCCACCCCCUUCAAGAGCUGUCAGCUUGCUUUGAACGCUUGGUUGGGCACACACGCCUGACGCACUGUCCCUGGCAUAUGUCAUCGCUCGAUCAGCAUAGAUCAGAGCAGUGCUCCGACAAUUGAUUGGACUCAUCGUGGUGUAUUGUAUCUUAUCAUAUUUGUCAGAGAGCAGUGUUCGAUACCUACACAGCCAGCCGCUUUGAUAUACAGAUUACGCUAUACAUGCACCCUGAUAAAGAAGACAGCCCCAGUGCAGCCUCUUUUCCUCAGAGCAUAGGAGAGCUACACAUACCUUGUUCCUAGGACUAACCAUACCCAAGUCAUUCUGGAUGUUUACUAUCUGUGUUUCUUUUGGCCGCCGGCGUUGAUGUGAAUAAUUUUUUGCAGUGAAGCUUUCGAUAAUUGGAGCAACUGGGAUCCAUUGAAACAAUACAGGAUUGAAUCUGGCCCAAACAGAGCUGAUUAAGAGCAAGUUUCGGCCACUCAAGUUAGCCUGCAAGAACAUGCAGCCAUGGUGGGAAGAAGCCAAACAGCAACGUGACGUCAUCGAUCUGACGUCAGUGGUGUGACCUCGUGUAGAGGGGUGACGUCAGAAAAGUAGGCUGAUUUGCUUAGCGGCUUAGGAUUUCCCGGCAACGUCUCGGUUGAAGAAACGGUAAGUUAAAUGGAGAUGCUCUACAUAAGUUUAUACAACUUCUUGCCCUAUAACACUAUACCAUAUCGAUCGCUGCUUUUGUUUGAAACUCUCCGCCGAUGUUUUCUCUCUCUCCUAAUUUGCCAAUUAUUGUCUGUUCGGGAAAAAAAUUUGCCUCUUUUCUUCCGCGCGACUGGAAAAAGCGAAUAGCGGACUUUGGCUUCAAAUUAGGGUUUCUA